UAUGAACAUAUGUCAGAAUCAUCCACAUUGGUCCAUUGGUUCAAAAAAUAGAUCAAAGUCCUUUGAGACCAAAGGAAGCAUGGCUUUUCUGACCAAAACCUGUUCCACAGAGUCUUCUAUCCUGGAGAUAAUUGGGAAGUAAUCCAAUUAGCUCCAAGGACAGAGGCAAAACUCCAUUAAGCACAUGGCAGUAAAAAGACAGCAAAAUACAAUAAAAUACACAAGGUUACAUUUAUUACAUAAAAUACAGACAUGCAACAUAUCCCCAGAUAACUUAGGCCUGAGCACACAUUAUUACCGAAUGGCAC